AUGGAUAACGUACCCAUCGAAGACUCCUUGGAAUCGCUCCGGAUCGACUCCCCGCCGCCGGCGCGUGAUGCGUCGGCGCCGGCGCUCGACGAGCCCAUGGUCCCCCCGUUCCAGGUGCAGGGAAGACCGCGGCACCAACCCGUCGCCGCUCGCACGGGACCCUGGCCCGUAGCUCUUCCGUCCGCUUUCAUGGCGCCAGCCGCCCACGACGGCCACGGUGGUGACAGCAGUCACGAUGCCCAUGUCGUCGUCGGUCAGGGCCAGUCCAGAUACGGCGAUUCGGCGGCGUGGCAGCAAAUCCGGUGGGAGCCGAAGACGAUGACGUGCCGCCAGUGCCACACGACGGACACGCCGCAGUGGCGGACCGGGCCGGACGGGCCGGGCACGCUGUGCAACGCGUUCAUCAAACUUAGAAACCAUACAAUUCGCCCUUCUAUCUACAUCUCCGUAUUCGGCAGGUCUGGAUGGACCUCGUGCAGAUACUCAUCUUUGAUGGGGUCGACAUGCUAUGACGGUCCAUAUGUAAAAAAAAUUGGACCGUGGCCUCCUCGUGAUGUAAACUACAACACCUCGCGGUGCAAAUUUACAUCACGAGGUGCAUCUGGUCCAAAACUAGCCGCCGCCCGCAAACGCCCGACCGCCACUUCAUUUCCUUUCCCGCCCGCCUGCGCCCGUCUGCCCGCUCGCGACCCGCCUAGCAGCCGCCGCCCCCUCCCCCCCUCCCCCACCGUCCGGCGCCGCCAUGGCCGUAGGCGACGACCCCUCUGCCUUCUCUGCUGCCGCCGCAACCGGUGGGCUGACCCACGUGGCCGCCGCCGCCGCCAUCUCGCCCGCAACAGUUGCCAUGCCGCCGCCCCCCGCCCGCCGGCCCAGAUUAGCGCCGCCCUGGCCGGUGGCCACCGCGCCGGCGGCGAAGCCAGCGAAGAGAUGAGGCAGCGGAAAACGGGCGGCCAACCCCAGCCACAAGCCAACCAACAGUUCUACACGGCCGGUGAAGGUCUCCAAGGCGGCUGCGGCGGCUCAGGGCGACGACCCGCAGCCGAUGCAGCCGGCGGCCUCCUCCAGCAGCCAUACAUCCAUUCCUCAACCUCCCCCGCCGCCACCGCCGGCCGUGGAGGAAGAUGUGGCCACGCUGAUAGCCACCGCCUCCAACAUGAUGAUGACAAUCUUGAUGUGGACGAUGAGGGCUUUGUUGUCAAGGGAAGAAGUGGAAAUUAUACCACCGCGGAGGAUGUGUUGAUAUGCACAGCUUGGAAGAAAAUCUCUGAAGAUGCAAGCGUCGGAAGCAACCAAACGGUGAAUACCUAUUGGCAAUGCAUCAAGGAGUGCUUCGAUGAGCGCAACACAAGUGUUCACUUCCGUUCGAGCGACUCUCUACGCCAACGUUGGUCCACCAUCAACGCCGAAUGCCAAAAGUGGUCCGGUUGCUUGUCAAACGUUGCUCGCAUGAACCCAAGUGGUUGCGGUGAAAUUGGCUUCAUCUGCAACAUGACCGGUAUGGGACGUAAUGAAGAUGCUUCCGGUGGUGCUCACGACAACGAGAGUUCACUGCUUGUUGAGAACAUCGACAAAGACGGUGGUGAAGAUGAUGAUCGUACCACGGUUCACAACACCAGUGGUGUUGAUGACCCGCAUGAGUAA
rnacentral:rRNA from 1 species